rnacentral:rRNA from 1 species
GAUGAACGCUGGCGGCGUGCCUAAUACAUGCAAGUCGAGCGAACAGAUGAGGAGCUUGCUCCUCUGACGUUAGCGGCGGACGGGUGAGUAACACGUGGAUAACCUACCUAUAAGACUGGGAUAACUUCGGGAAACCGGAGCUAAUACCGGAUAAUAUAUUGAACCGCAUGGUUCAAUAGUGAAAGACGGCUUUGCUGUCACUUAUAGAUGGAUCCGCGCCGCAUUAGCUAGUUGGUAAGGUAACGGCUUACCAAGGCAACGAUGCGUAGCCGACCUGAGAGGAUGAUCGGCCACACUGGAACUGAGACACGGUCCAGACUCCUACGGGAGGCAGCAGUAGGGAAUCUUCCGCAAUGGGCGAAAGCCUGACGGAGCAACGCCGCGUGAGUGAUGAAGGUCUUCGGAUCGUAAAGCUCUGUUAUUAGGGAAGAACAAAUGUGUAAGUAACUAUGCACGUCUUGACGGUACCUAAUCAGAAAGCCACGGCUAACUACGUG